rnacentral:rRNA from 1 species
AGAGUUUGAUCAUGGCUCAGGAUGAACGCUAGCGGUGUGCCUAAUGCAUGCAAGUCGAACGGGAUCCUUUGGAUUCGUCUGAAGGUGAGAGUGGCGGACGGGUGAGUAACGCGUUGGUGACCUGCCCCAGAGAGGGGGACAACCAUUGGAAACGAUGGCUAAUACCCCGGAUGUCAUUGUGUUUAGAAAACAAUGACUAAACGCUCCGGCGCUCUGGGAGGGGCCUGCGUCCCAUCAGCUUGUUGGUAAGGUAAUGGCUUACCAAGGCUAAGACGGGUAGGGGGCGUGAGAGCGUGACCCCCCACACUGGUACUGAAACACGGACCAGAUACCUACGGGUAGCAGCAGCAAGGAAUAUUGCCCAAUGGACGAAAGUCUGAGGCAGCAACACCGCGUGGAGGACGAAGGCCUUCGGGUUGUAAACUCCUUUUCUGGGGGAAGAGAACGGACGGUACCCCAGGAAUAAGGCCCGGCUAACUACGUGCCAGCAGCCGCGGUAAAACGUAGGGGUCGAGCGUUAUCCGGAUUUACUGGGCGUAAAGAGCAUGUAGGCGGUUGCUUAAGUCGGACGUGAAAGCUCCUGGCUCAACUAGGAGAGGCCGUUCGAAACUAAGUGACUCGAGGAUGGUAGAGGAGAGUGGAAUUCCAGGUGUAGUGGUGAAAUGCGUAGAUAUCUGGAGGAACACCAGUGGCGAAGGCGGCUCUCUGGGCCAUUCCUGACGCUGAGAUGCGAAAGCUAGGGGAGAGAACGGGAUUAGAAACCCCGGUAUUCCUAGCCGUAAACGAUGUCAACUAGGUGUAGGAGGUAUUGACCCCUUCUGUGCUGCAGCAAACGCGUUAAGUUGACCGCCUGGGGACUACGGCCGCAAGGCUAAAACUCAAAGGAAUUGACGG